GUUAGGGUUUCUACAUGCCUGCUGAGAUGAGCUGAAAAUCCCUCCUGUUAAAGAGAACUGACACUCAGAUUUCAGAAGAGCUAUACUGCAGUGAUUCUGUAGUGCUGACAAAAUGGGAAUUAUAAGGAAGCACUUACCAACAAAUCCUGGCCAAUCUAAUGAAGCUGUGUGGGGAGAGGUGAAGAAUGACAAUGUGAAUGUUUAAAAUCACUUUAUGUUUAGCUCAUCCACCUGAGAAAUCUGUGUUUGUAUUGAAUAACCUUGUUCAUAAUUCAAGAAAGAAACCACAACCAACAAACCUAAACCAUAAAAGCAAUUUUUUU